rnacentral:rRNA from 1 species
AGCUUACUCUAGCCCAACCAUACUGCACACGCAGCAACGGAAAAAAUUCACUUUACUACCUAACUAAAACAUUCUUUAAACUUAGUAUAGGCGAUAGAAAAGAACCCCUGGCGCGAUAGAAAUUUUGUACCGUAAGGGAAAGAUGAAAUAACAAUGAAAACCCAAGCAAUAAACAGCAAAGAUUAACCCUUGUACCUUUUGCAUCAUGAUUUAGCGAGAACAACCAAGCAAAAUGAAUUUAAGCUUGCCCCCCCGAAACCCGAGCGAGCUACUUGCAAGCAGCUACCCCUGAGCGAACCCGUCUCUGUUGCAAAAGAGUGGGAUGACUUGCCAGUAGAGGUGAAAAGCCUACCGAGCUGGGUGAUAGCUGGUUGCCUGUGAAAUGAAUCUUAGUUCCCUCCUGACCCCUCUUCCUCGGACACAAACCCUAGCCCAUAUGUAGUGAGUCAGGAGCAAUUUAAAGGAGGUACAGCUCCUUUAAAAAAGAAUACAAUCUCCACUAGCGGAUAACUACCCAGCUUCCUCCCGUAUUGUAGGCCUUCAAGCAGCCAUCAAUAAAGAGUGCGUCAAAGCUCCACACACAAAAAUUCAACAAUAACAUGACUCCCUUUCCACCAACAGGCCAAUCUAUGUUAAUAGGAGUAUUAAUGCUAAAAUGAGUAACUAGGGCUACCCCCUCAACUAAGCGCAAACUUACAUCCUCACAUUAUUAACAGAUAUGAACAAUACCUCAAUUAAGACAAGACUAGAGUAUUGACCCGCCCUGUUACCCCAACUCAGGAGCGCACAUUUAGAAAGAUUAAAAUCUGUAGAAGGAACUAGGCAAACCCAAGGCCCGACUGUUUACCAAAAACAUAGCCUUCAGCCCACCAAGUAUUGAAGGUGAUGCCUGCCCGGUGACAUAACGUUUAACGGCCGCGGUAUCCUAACCGUGCAAAGGUAGCGCAAUCAAUUGUCCCAUAAAUCGAGACUUGUAUGAAUGGCUAAACGAGGUCUUAGCUGUCUCCUACAGAUAAUCAGUGAAAUUGAUCUUCCUGUGCAAAAGCAGGAAUAUCCACAUAAGACGAGAAGACCCUGUGGAACUUAAAAAUCAGCGACCACCACACACAAACAUAACCCUACCAGGCUCACUGCCCUCAAACUCUGGUCCGCAUUUUUCGGUUGGGGUGACCUUGGAGAAAAAUAGACCCUCCAAAAAUAAGACCACAUCUCUUGACCAAGAGCAACUCCUCAACGUACUAACAGUAACCAGACCCAAUACACUUGAUCAAUGGACCAAGCUACCCCAGGGAUAACAGCGCAAUCUCCUCUAAGAGCUCGCAUCGACGAGGGGGUUUACGACCUCGAUGUUGGAUCAGGACAUCCUAAUGGUGCAGCAGCUAUUAAGGGUUCGUUUGUUCAACGAUUAAUAGUCCUACGUGAUCUGAGUUCAGACCGGAGCAAUCCAGGUCGGUUUCUAUCUAUGAUACACUUUCUCUAGUACGAAAGGACCGAGAAAGUAGGGCCAAUACCACAAGCACGCCCUCUCCCCAAGUAAUGUACCCAACUAAAUUACCUACGGACACCCCACAUUACUAUUCCUAGAAAAGGACCAGCUAGCGUGG